UACAGAGGGUGCGAGCGUUAAUCGGAGUUACUGGGCGUAAAGGGCGCGUAGGCGGUUUAAUAAGAUUGAUGUGAAAUCCCUGGGCUUAACCUAGGAACUGCAUCGAUGACUGUUAAGCUAGUGUAUUGUAGAGGGUAGUGGAAUUUCCGGUGUAGCGGUGAAAUGCGUAGAGAUCGGAAGGAACACCAGUGGCGAAAGCGGCGCGCUGGACCUCUUCUGACGCUGAGGCGCGAAAGCCAGGGGAGCGAACGGG
rnacentral:rRNA from 1 species